rnacentral:rRNA from 1 species
AGAGGGCGUGAAACCGCUUAGAAGGAAACGUGAGGCGCCGCAGUUUGCCUUCAAGAUUCAAUUGGCCGGCUGCUCUCGGAGUGGUCGGCUUGUGCAUUUCUUGUUGGUAUGCACUGGGUGCCGUGUUGGUUGUGCUGUUCACAUUCACCGGUGAAGUACGAAUGUGCAGUUCAGGUGAUUGUGUAUUGUGCGGCUGGUACGGUUGACGGGGCGCUCUGUGAAGCUCGGUAUUUGGAUGAUCAUUUGUUGUCUCUCGGCAGCUGGUUUUUGACGGUUGUCGGGUGAUGGGUCUUGUGAUUCCUAUGCUGAGGAGGCGCCUUCCCGGUGUGAACGUCGGCUACCCUCCCGACCCGUCUUGAAACACGGACCAAGGAGUCUAACAUGUGCGCGAGUCGGUGGGUGUCAAACCUACGGGCGCAAUGAAAGUAAAGGCCAGCUCGGUUGGCUGACGCACGACCCUUUCAGCUUGCUGUUUGGAGCAGUGUGGUCCCAUCUUAGAUGCUUGUCAUCGAGGUGGAGAUUGAGCGUACACGUUGGGACCCGAAAGAUGGUGAACUAUGCCUGAACAGGAUGAAGCCAGAGGAAACUCUGGUGGAAGUCCGAAGCGGUUCUGACGUGCAAAUC